UACGUAGGGUGCAAGCGUUGUCCGGAAUUAUUGGGCGUAAAGAGCUCGUAGGCGGUUUGUCGCGUCUGCUGUGAAAACUCGGGGCUCAACUCCGAGCUUGCAUUCGAUACGGGCAGGCUAGAGUUCGGUAGGGGAGACUGGAAUUCCUGGUGUAGCGGUGAAAUGCGCAGAUAUCAGGAGGAACACCGGUGGCGAAGGCGGGUCUCUGGGCCGAUACUGACGCUGAGGAGCGAAAGCGUGGGGAGCGAACAGG
rnacentral:rRNA from 1 species